rnacentral:rRNA from 1 species
UACAGAGGGUGCAAGCGUUGUUCGGAAUUAUUGGGCGUAAAGGGCGCGUAGGCGGUGCGGUAAGUCUGUAGUGAAAUCUCUGGGCUCAACUCAGAGUCUGCUGCAGAAACUGCCGUGCUUGAGUGUGGGAGAGGUGAGUGGAAUUCCCGGUGUAGCGGUGAAAUGCGUAGAGAUCGGGAAGAACAUCGGUGGCGAAGGCGCUCUACUGGACCACAACUGACACUCAGGGACGAAAGCUAGGGGAGCGAAUGGG